CCUACGGGAGGCAGCAGUGGGGAAUAUUGGACAAUGGGCGAAAGCCUGAUCUAGCAAUGCCGCGUGAGUGAUGAAGGCCUUAGGGUUGUAAAGCUCUUUUACCAGGGAUGAUAAUGACAGUACCUGGAGAAUAAGCUCCGGCUAACUCCGUGCCAGCAGCCGCGGUAAUACGGAGGGAGCUAGCGUUGUUCGGAAUUACUGGGCGUAAAGCGUGCGUAGGCGGUGAUUCAAGUCAGAGGUGAAAGCCUGGAGCUCAACUCCAGAACGGCCUUUGAAACUAGAUCGCUAGAAUUAUGGAGAGGUAAGUGGAAUUCCGAGUGUAGAGGUGAAAUUCGUAGAUAUUCGGAAGAACACCAGUGGCGAAGGCGACUUACUGGACAUAUAUUGACGCUGAGGUACGAAAGCGUGGGGAGCAAACAGGAUUAGAUACCCUGGUAGUCCACGCCGUAAACGAUGAUAACUAGCUGUUCGGGCUCUCAGAGCUGUAGUGGCGGCGAGACGUAACCGACAUUAAGUUAAGUUACCGUCCGUCGGGGUAGGGUACGGUCGGCGAAGUAAGUUAAAACGUUAACUUAAAUUAGUAAGUUAGUUACGGACGUUGAGACGUGCCGACGGACGACGACGAGGGGAGGUUAGGAG
rnacentral:rRNA from 1 species